UGGAGAGGGAAAAAAACCGCCACGGCAACAAUAAUAACAAGAAUAAUGUCUACUACUACUAUUACUGCUACUGUCACUACUAUAACUAAAGAACAAAUACAUGUCUGCUGUACUGAAAGAUAAAAGAAAACAAAACUGAAAGAAAUGUACACUUUUUUUUUAUUGCCAACUAAUACGUCUUUCUCUAAUGAUUCGUAAUAGGGCACAUUAAAUUAUCUUCUCUCUUUAUCUGUAUACAUUAUCAAAAUAUUUUUGAUUUAUCAAAGUAAAUAGCUUUCAAAGUAAAUAGCUUAUCAAAGUAAAUAGUUUUCAGUUUUCUGUUAUCAAAAUAGCUUUCAGUUUUUGUUAUCUAUGUUGAUUUCCUUAUUUCUAUCUUUCUGUUUUUUAAUCUAGAUAAAGUAAAUAUUUGUAUGUAUUUGAUUAAAUCCUUUAUAAUAUUCUUUAUUUAUUUUCUUAUUUUCUGUAUCGUAUUCGGAAAGUGUCUAGAAGGUUCAUCCUGUUUUGUAUCUUGACAUUUUUGCCUCGUAAGUAAAAUUUGUAAUAAUGAUGACUCCAAUAAUAAUAAAAGGCUGACGCACCAAACCUCAAACUGCAA